rnacentral:rRNA from 1 species
GCUACCUACGGGACGCAGCAGUGGGGGAUAUUGCACAAUGGGGGGAACCCUGAUGCAGCGACGCCGCGUGGGCGAUGGAGUGCUUCGGUAUGUAAAGCCCUAUCAGCAGGGAAGAAAAUGACGGUACCUGACUAAGAAGCCCCGGCUAAAUACGUGCCAGCAGCCGCGGUAAUACGUAUGGGGCAAGCGUUAUCCGGAUUUACUGGGUGUAAAGGGAGCGUAGACGGCAUAGCAAGUCUGAUGUGAAAGAUCGGGGCUCAACCCCGGGCCUGCAUUGGAAACUGUUAAGCUGGAGUACAGGAGAG